UACGGGGGGGGCAAGCGUUGUUCGGAAUUACUGGGCGUAAAGGGUGCGUAGGCGGUCCGCUAAGUUGGAUGUGAAACUCUGGGCUUAACCCAGAGCCUGCAUUCAAAACUGACGGGCUAGAGUUCUGGAGGGGGUAGCGGAAUUCCUGGUGUAGCGGUGAAAUGCGUAGAGAUCCCCAAGAACACCAGUUGCGAAGGCGGCCGUCUGGACACAUAUUGACGCUGAGGCUCGAAAGCAUGGGGAGCAAACAGG
rnacentral:rRNA from 1 species